rnacentral:rRNA from 1 species
UACGUAGGGGGCAAGCGUUGUCCGGAAUCAUUGGGCGUAAAGCGCGUGUAGGCGGCUCGGAUAAGUCCGGCUCUGAAAGUCCGGGGCUCAACCCCGGGAGGCGGGUGGAUAACUGUCGAGCUAGAGUCCGGAAGAGGCGAGUGGAAUUCCUGGUGUAGCGGUGAAAUGCGCAGAUAUCAGGAGGAACACCGAUGGCGAAGGCAGCUCGCUGGGACGGUACUGACGCUGAGGCGCGAAAGCGUGGGGAGCAAACAGG